rnacentral:rRNA from 1 species
UGCAGUCGCACGGGCACUUUCGGGUGUCAGUGGCGGACGGGUGAGUAACGCGUAGGAACAUGUCCAGGGGUGGGGGAUAACGCUGGGAAACUGGCGCUAAUACCGCAUGUGAGCUGAGGCUCAAAGCAGUGAUGCGCCUUUGGAGUGGCCUGCGUCCGAUUAGCUUGUUGGUGGGGUAAUGGCUUACCAAGGCGACGAUCGGUAGCUGGUCUGAGAGGACGACCAGCCACACUGGGACUGAGACACGGCCCAGACUCCUACGGGAGGCAGCAGUGGGGAAUAUUGGACAAUGGGCGCAAGCCUGAUCCAGCAAUGCCGCGUGGGUGAAGAAGGUCUUCGGAUCGUAAAGCCCUUUCGACGGGGACGAUGAUGACGGUACCCGUAGAAGAAGCCCCGGCUAACUUCGUGCCAGCAGCCGCGGUAAUACGAAGGGGGCUAGCGUUGCUCGGAAUUACUGGGCGUAAAGGGCGCGUAGGCGGCUUGGUUAGUCAGGCGUGAAAUUCCCGGGCUUAACCUGGGGACUGCGCUUGAUACUGCUGGGCUUGAGGGUGGAAGAGGGUCGUGGAAUUCCCAGUGUAGAGGUGAAAUUCGUAGAUAUUGGGAAGAACACCGGUGGCGAAGGCGGCGACCU